rnacentral:sRNA from 1 species
AUAAAUAAACCUUUAUUAAACUUCACAUUUCCCAGACUGACUUAACUAUGGAAUUCUUUUUCACCUAAUGUCUAUGAGUGAUCAUGGAGCUAGUGUUUUCAGAUACAAGUUUUGGAGAGACUCGCUGGACACAUGACUGCUACUUACUGGUUUUCGCCUCUCUGUACAUCUGCUCAGUCUAGUAAUGAUCAAUAAUGGCUUUACACCAGAUAAAAAUGAUUAUGAAUUUUGCGCCAAAGUGGAAAAUAUGAUUAUCCCUGCACAAGGGCAUUUUGGAAUAUCUGCUGCAACUGGAGGUCUUGCAGAUGACCAUGAUGUCCUUUCUUUUCUGACUUUCCAAUUGACUGAACCUGGAAAAGAGCCGCCCACACCAGAUAAAGAAAUUUCAGAAAACGAAAAAGAAAAGUAUCAGGAGGAAUUUGAGCACUUUCAACAAGAAUUGGAU